GCCAGCAGCCAUAUUACCCUGCAACUCACAACUGGCAGCCCACUGAAGCUCAGAGCCUGGUCAGUACCUGGAUGGGAGACCUCCUGGGAAAAAACUAAGGUUGCUGCUGGAA
rnacentral:rRNA from 1 species